CUUUUAGUUUUAACCUUCGCCCUCUUUUUCACCCCCAUCGUGUUCGUGUGUGUGUGUAUAUAUACUAGGGAAAGGUGUUUUGUUUGUUUUUUCUUUUUCAUUUGCAUUCACCCCCCAGAUCAAUCUUUCUUUGAUUGAGUUCAUUUACUUUUCCAGAAAAUGGCUGUUUCAUUUGAUUCUCUCUGUGAUCAAUUCUGUUGAAACAGUGCUCAUUGAUGACAAGGUUUGUUAAAAUUUACUAGUGAAUCAAAUUUAGUUUGUUCAUUUUUUGCUUACGUUAUAGUGGUGUUUUUAGUGUUUCAUGUUUGGUGGUAGGGUGGCAAGAUCCAUGCUAUGUGAGGAAGCAGUUGGUCUAUUAAUUUCAGCAAAAAUUGAUCGAAUACUGGUUCUUACCAUGCCACUCUGCAUCCCUAUAGUCUGUUUUUCCAGAUGUGGUACGGUAAGAAAGAACCAGUAUUCGAUCAAUUUUUUUGCUCGCUAUGUGAAUCCAGCUAUUCCUCCUCGCUAUGGUUUGUCUUUGAGUUCUAUUGGUGAAGUCUCUGCUCAUCCUACUGUCUAUGAGUACUUGGUUGGUCUUCAGUCUUCUAACUGGUUUGACAGUUGAAAGAGAGUACCUCAAAGAUGGCAAGGUCACCAAAAUGAUUGUUCUUGAGUUAACUGAACACAGUUCGUAAUUCCAGUUUCUUUGGUUGAACAUUUGUUAUGAUAUGUUUUUGUUUUGCUUAGUUGCAUUCUUUUUGUUGUGUUUUAACUUCCAUUUACUUUGUAAGGGGAAAUGCGAGCGUGUUUUGUUUGGGAAGAUUCCUGAUGUGAUGCCAAUUGUCGUUGUUCAAUUUGCCAAGGUUAAGGUCUUCAGGGGUAGGUUUUUCUUAGGCACUGUGUUUUGUGUUUUUAUUGUUUUGCAGAUUUUGCUUAGGUUUUGUGCUUAGUUUGGACUUAUUGUUCCAUGUUUUAGAUAAGACUUAUCUCCAAAAUGUUAUGGAUACAUCUAGGAUUUUGGUGAACCCUGACAUUGAAGUCUUGCUGUUCAUGGUCUUGAGACAAGUCAGCCUGUUUCUAUUCUUGGACCUUGUGCCAAACCAUCUUUGGAUGAGGAGUUUCUUUGCACCUAUCCUGUUAAUUAAGACCAUUUCUGGUUUGCUUGAGACGGUUGAUGAUGGAACUUUUUGUUGUUUCUGCAACUACUAUUGGUCUGGUGGAAGGUGAGGACUGGUGGUUUACUGCCUGUAAAUGCCAUAGGAGCGUGGCCCCAACUCCGGUGCUUAUUACUGCAGCAGAUUUGAGAAACAUGCCUACCAGAUGAUUCCCAUGUUUUCUCUUCGGUUUUCUUUUUCUUUUGAUGUUCUUUCCAAUUUGGUUCUUUACUAUUUUUCUUAUUUGUUUUUAUGCAACUGAUGGCACUGGUGAUACUGUUUUUGUCCUCUUUGAUGGUGAUAUUCACUAUCUUGUGGGAGAGCAAUGGGUUAGCUUGGUGUCUGCUGCAAGGGUAUUUGGUUUGGAUCUCCUAUCUUCUUUUUUGUUGUGGUUUUUGUUUUGAGCUCAUUGUAUUUCGUGAUACAUCUAUAAGUAGAUUUUUGCUAAUUGCACUUGGUGCUGCUGUACCUUUCAGGGUGAAUAUUUGUAUAUAUCCUAUUUGGGCUGGAGAGGAACUGCAUAAUCUUGUGAUAAAAUAUUUCAUGGGCGUUGCUACAUCCUUGGAAGGAAAGUAAACUUUUUCGAGAGAAGGGUGGUUGACAGAGAAAGAUGAGCCAAGUGUUUGCAAAUCCUGCUACAUUGAUGACUUCAAGUUCUUCUCAUGUGAGCAUGGAAGUCCUCAGUCUACAUCAACAAGGAUGUUGAACAGCAAACUCCCAAAGGCACGACAUCAAGUAAGUAUGCAUAUGGACUCAAAUUUCAUGUGAGAAAUGUCAAGAGGAUUGAUAAAAGAAAUAAAGAGGGUGCAGAGCAUGACAGUGCAUAAGAACAAUGGUGAAGGCACCAAAUAUAUUUUUUUUAAUGGAUAAAGGCACCAAGUAAAUGUUAAUUAUGUGUGUAUAGUUUGUGAUACAUUCAUCGGUUUUGUACUUAAAAGUUUUUGGUGUAAUUCAAAGUUGUAGUUUACUUGGAGCUAGUGAGUAAAAUAUGUUUUUUUUUACUCAGAUAAUAAAGUUAAAAAAAAUAUACUUGAUAUUUUCUAAUUGUCAAAAAUGCUCAUCAAUUUGCUCAAGUGUACUCACAACUUUAUCUGAUAUAUCAACCUGGCUCAUAAAAGCAUGCCAAAAAAACAAGAAAGUGUGAAAUUGUUAUGAACACGACUCAUAAUAGGAAUAGGAGUUCCUGCCGUCUGAUUAAACUCGAUGGCUGAGACUAUUUUAAUCAUAAAAUUGUGAAAUAUUAGAACCGUCCGAUCAUGAAUGAGUGGCUGAGAUUUAAUAUUGCAUUAAACUGUGUGAUAAACGUACGGCAGAGAAUCUAUAUCCUUCAUAAGCCAAGAAGUUCUCAAUCUUUCAUGUGAAUCAUUUGAUAAACUUAAAUCAUUAUCAAACCUUAAACCCCCUAAUAAGAUAAAUCAAAGUUCAUCU